GGUCGAUCAGACUAUAACCCUUUUGCUCGACCUUCCUUCUUCCUCCCCACUUCACUCAGCAACCCAGAAAAACCAGAGACCCAUUUCUCUCAGCCAAAACCCUCGCCUCCACCACCUUCUCCCCACCCUAUCUCCCUCAUUUCUCAACCAUUUCAGCCCAUUUUUUUUUUAAAAUCCUCCAUUUUCGAUACUUAAUAACAUACACCUAAAAAGUUCUGAUUUUUUAGCCUCUAAAAGUGUCAUCCGAACCCAAAUAGUAAACUUUGGGUGUGAAAUCCGGCCACCCAUUUUUGUUGAGAAAUUGUUCAAUCUCAACCUCGUUUAAGUGUCGGGAUUUUUUACGGUGGUCGUCGGAUUGCGGUUAUUAGGGGUUCGGCAUAAUUUUGUGUGUAGCGUAUUUGGGCUUGCAAUUAUAGACAUGGCGAACUCAGAAUCAGGAUCUGAUUCGGGAGCAGAAAAUGAGUGUCCAACCACAAUACCUACACGAGGGCCGACGCAAAUGAAUGAAAUAUCCAAACUAAUGGAUCAGGGCAAAAGAGUGGCCCUCGAAGUUAAUGAUA